rnacentral:rRNA from 1 species
AGAGUUUGAUCAUGGCUCAGAAUCAACGCUGGCGGCGUGCCUAACACAUGCAAGUCGAACGCGAAAGCCCGCAAGGGUAAGUAGAGUGGCGCACGGGUGAGUAACACGUGGACAACCUGCCUUCGAGUGGGGAAUAACCUUCCGAAAGGAGGGCUAAUACCGCAUAACACCUCGGGACACAAGUUCUGGGGUUGAAAAGAGCAAUUUGCUCGAAGAGGGGUCCGCGCCUGAUUAGCUAGUUGGUGAGGUAACGGCUCACCAAGGCUUCGAUCAGUAGCCGUCCUGAGAGGGAGCACGGCCACACUGGAACUGAGACACGGUCCAGACUCCUACGGGAGGCAGCAGUGGGGAAUUUUUGGCAAUGGGCGAAAGCCUGACCAAGCAACGCCGCGUGGGUGAUGAAGUAUCUUGGUACGUAAAACCCUUUCGGCAGGGACGAACCUAAUGACGGUACCUGCGAAGAGCC